rnacentral:rRNA from 1 species
CGUCAAGCCAUCAUGCCCCUUAUGUCCAGGGCUUCACACGUGCUACAAUGGACGGUACAAACGGUUACCAACCCGCGAGGGGGAGCCAAUCCGAUAAAACCGUUCUCAGUUCGGAUUGUAGGCUGCAACUCGCCUACAUGAAGCUGGAAUCGCUAGUAAUCGCGGAUCAGCAUGCCGCGGUGAAUACGUUCCCGGGCCUU